rnacentral:rRNA from 1 species
CCUACGGGAGGCAGCAGUGAGGAAUAUUGGACAAUGGGCGCAAGCCUGAUCCAGCCAUGCCGCGUGCAGGAAGAAGCAUCUAUGGUGUGUAAACUGCUUUUGUACAGGAAGAAACACUCCCUCGUGAGGGAGCUUGACGGUACUGUAAGAAUAAGGACCGGCUAACUCCGUGCCAGCAGCCGCGGUAAUACGGAGGGUCCGAGCGUUAUCCGGAAUCAUUGGGUUUAAAGGGUCCGUAGGCGGUUUAAUAAGUCAGUGGUGAAAUCUGGUCGCUCAACGAUCAAACGGCCAUUGAUACUGUUAGACUUGAAUUAUAAGGAAGUAACUAGAAUAUGUAGUGUAGCGGUGAAAUGCUUAGAUAUUACAUGGAAUACCAAUUGCGAAGGCAGGUUACUACUUAUGGAUUGACGCUGAUGGACGAAAGCGUGGGGAGCGAACAGGAUUAGAUACCCUGGUAGUCCACGCCGUAAACGAUGGAUACUAGCUGUUCGGAGCAAUCUGAGUGGCUAAGCGAAAGUGAUAAGUAUCCCACCUGGGGAGUACGUUCGCAAGAUGAAACUUAAAGGAAUUGACGG